GCCGAAAUAGCUCAGUUGGGAGAGCGUCAGACAGAAGAUCUGAAGGUCCCUGGUUCAAUCCCGGGUUUCGGCA
rnacentral:tRNA from 1 species